UGAAGGUCCUUUUUGUGUAUGCCUACAAGUUGUUCGAUAAAAAUCCAAGCAGGUUGUAGGAGAAGGUAUGCUUAGUAACGUCAAAGAGAUGCCGCCAAUUACAAAUUAUGAUAUUCAUCAUUACACAUUAGCACCACCAUGGAUAGCCAAGAUCCUUCCCAGCCAUGAUAAUCAGAGUGAACUUUGCUGUCAUUUUCGUCUAUCCAUCCAGAGGAAGUAGAUGAUUGAUAGAGAUUCGGAGGAAGCAAUUAAUAAAUGAAGAUC